rnacentral:tRNA from 1 species
GCCCUGAUAGCUCAGUCGGUAAAGGAGGGGAUUUAAAUUCCCCCUUUCCUUGGUACGAUUACGAUUCCGGGCACCA